UCAAAUCAGGCAGGAUUACCCGCUGAACUUAA
rnacentral:rRNA from 1 species